rnacentral:lncRNA from 1 species
GCACUUGACGGUUAAACUGUCAUUCUUCCACAUUCUGUAUGUGGAUACCUCCUCCUCUGUGGCAUCAUCCCCAAUCUCUUGUGGUUCGGAGAUGUCAAGAAUAUAGGAGAGCUUCUCCUGAGUGAGUAUGAUCUUUAAAUUUCUCAAUCAGUCCACAUAAUUGAGACCGGUCAACUUGUUGGAAUUUAAAAUUUCUGGCAAUGAUAGUGAAGAUGCCAUUUGUAGAAUUUAAUCUACAAUAAUUAAAGAACAUUAUAUAAGCAAACAACUCAUGUUGACUCAUACAAUUAAAUAAGGUCUUUAGAUUUAAUUAUGCCUCCCAC